AAGUCGUAACAAGGUUUCCGUAGGUGAACCUGCGGAAGGAUCAUUAUCACGUAUCCACGUAUAAACCAUUGUGAACCGUACUCUAACCUCUGGUUUUUUUUUUCACUCGUCUCUUUUUUUUGGGGCUGCAUUCAUUUGCAACUCUGGGGGGGCGGCGAUGGGAGAAGAGAUCAGAGCGUAUUAACCUCCAUAUUAACCAUUUUAACCAAAUCUUUAUAACUUUUAUGAACUAAUCUUUAUUUUAUACUCUUCGGAGAUAAAAUUCAUUACGAAACAAAGAACAACUCUUAGCAACGGAUAUCUUGGUUCUC
rnacentral:misc_RNA from 1 species